rnacentral:tRNA from 1 species
GGGUCUGCAGCUCAUUGGUAGAGUGCUUGCCUUGCAUGCAUGAGGCACUGGGUUCAAUCCUCAGCACCA